UAAAAACACCCGAUCCCGACGCCCCGAAAAAGGUCCUGCCUACUUCUAAUCUCUACCUUACUUUCAUUUUUGCCAAAUCACUAUUUUCCCUUUCAACAAUAAAUUGUUAUGCCCCAUUUAUGGGCAUUAUGUUUUCUAGUCUGUACAUCCGUUCGUUCGUUCGUUCGUCCGUCCGUGUCUGUCCCGCUUCAGGUUAAAGUUUUUGGUCGAGGUAGUUUUAGAUGAAGUUGAGCAUGUUUUAUUUAUUUUAAUAUAUAUG
rnacentral:lncRNA from 1 species